AGCCUGGAAACUGGGGGGAGAGCUAGCAAAAAGGAGCUCAGAAGAUGUAUCUAACAACCUACAACUUCCAGAACUCCCCUAAUAAAGGAGGAUUUUAAAGAGAAAGGCAGAACUGGAAGCUAAAUGAAAGGAAAACAGGGGAGAUUGAAAUGUAUUACUCGCUAUUAGAACUUAAUUUCACUUCUGCAAAGGAAGCAAGGAACCUCAUUUUAUGAGGGGAUUGUGAGGGCCUUUGCAAGGGGCUGUAUUGAAUUUCAGAAAGCAUUUUACAAGAAGGAAGUCUGCCACAAUCUUGUGCUAUAGGACUUCCUCUGGAAGCAUAUAUUUCUUCCCCAUAAGUCUUUUGAACAGUUUUAUACUGCACAUGUUUCAAGAGAAUUAAAUCAAUAACAAUCUGUACCUUUCUAACCUGAAAUGCAAGCUCUGCAUGGCAGGAGAUCAAGCUAUGCAAUUAACUGUUGUCCUUUCAAAGGAAUUCUGACAGAUAUUUAUAGUUUACUGUAUUCCUUUUUCCUGCCAUUGGAAUAUAACAGUACAACUGAAUGCAGCUGACUGGAACUAUGAAAUAAUUAUAGCAAUAACUAUUUCCUUCUCUACUGGGGAAAUCUUGUAAAGUGCUGAAUGUGGGAACUGCUGAUGUUCUUACCCCUCAGAAUUCGGUCCUUGCCUCAAGUUUAUCAUGCAUCCCCUGAUAAGU